rnacentral:rRNA from 1 species
AGAGUUUGAUCAUGGCUCAGGAUGAACGCUGGCGGCGUGCCUAAUACAUGCAAGUCGAACGAGGUAGCAAUACCGAGUGGCGAACGGGUGAGUAACACGUAGGUAACCCUGCCCUUAAGCUUGGGAUACCCAGAGGAAACUUUGGCUAAUACCGGAUAACAACAGAGAAGGCAUCUUCUUUGCUUGAAAGGCCCCUUCAAGGGUCACUUAAGGAUGGACCUGCGGCGCAUUAGCUAGUUGGUGAGAUAACAGCCCACCAAGGCGAGGAUGCGUAGCCGAACUGAGAGGUUGAUCGGCCACAUUGGAACUGAGACACGGUCCAAACUCCUACGGGAGGCAGCAGUAAGGAGUUUUCGGCAAUGGGGGAAACCCUGACCGAGCAACGCCGCGUGAGCGAUGACGGCCCUAAUGGGUUGUAAAGCUCUGUUGUAAGCCAUGAAUGACAGCUUGAGGAAAUGCAAGUUGUUUGACGACAGCUUACCAGAAAGCCACGGCUAACUACGUGCCAGCCGCCGC